UACGUAGGGUGCAAGCGUUGUCCGGAAUUAUUGGGCGUAAAGAGCUCGUAGGCGGUUCGUCGCGUCGGCUGUGAAAACCCGGAGCUCAACUCCGGGCCUGCAGUCGAUACGGGCGGACUUGAGUGUUGCAGGGGAGAAUGGAAUUCCCGGUGUAGCGGUGAAAUGCGCAGAUAUCGGGAGGAACACCGGUGGCGAAGGCGGUUCUCUGGGCCUGACCUGACGCUGAGGAGCGAAAGCGUGGGGAGCGAACAGG
rnacentral:rRNA from 1 species